AGUGAACGCUGGCGGCGUGCUUAACACAUGCAAGUCGAACGAACACGACCGAAGCUUGCUUCGGUACGGUUAGUGGCAGACGGGUGAGUAAUACAUAGGAAUCUACCUAGUAGUACGGGAUAACUUUUGGAAACGAAAGCUAAUACCGUAUACAGCUGAGAAGUGAAAGAUUUAUCGCUAUUAGAUGAGCCUAUGCAAGAUUAGCUAGUUGGUGAGGUAAUGGCUUACCAAGGCAAUGAUCUUUAGUUGGUCUGAGAGGACGAACAACCACACUGGAACUGAGACACGGUCCAGACUCCUACGGGAGGCAGCAGUGAGGAAUUUUGGACAAUGGGCGAAAGCCUGAUCCAGCAACGCCGCGUGAAUGAUGAAGGCCUUAGGGUCGUAAAGUUCUUUCAGUGGGGAAGAUAAUGACGGUACCCACACAAGAAGCUCCGGCUAACUUCG
rnacentral:rRNA from 1 species